GUGCUAAUUGAGACUGGGAAGCGUUUGCCAAGGAUUGGAGCUGCAGACUCCAGUGCUCAGAGCAGCAGGAUGGCACUUGGUGUCUGGAUGCCUUUGGAGUUGCACAUACAGCUUCUUUAUGAAAGGAAGAAACUGGAAGACAACAAAGGCUGCAUCUUGGGGCUUCUCUGAGGACUCCUGUUUCCACCAAUAUCUACCUGUUGUGGUCCUCACUUUCACAGCCACAUGAAAAUGGACGUUUUGACAAUGGCUCACAGAUUCCUGGAGAUGUCUGGGAGGAAGCAGGAAGAAGCAAGAAGUCAUCAAAACUUGAAAAACCCUGAAUCAGUCAACAGAUAUCCAACAGAAAACGUGGGAGAAGAGGGAUAUGAAGCCAGCAGCUAACACUGGGAAAGUUCAGAUCAUCUCUAAUAAUAGAUCUUUAUAAACAACGAGUGGCAGAACUCAGAGAGUGGGAGAGUGUUCCCUGUCUAUAAUCCAGCCACAGGAGAACAGGUGUGUGAAGUUGAAGAAGCAGACAAGGCAGAUAUAGACA
rnacentral:sRNA from 1 species